CGCACAUUGCGCCCCUUGGUAUUCCGAAGGGCAUGCCUGUUCGAGCGUCAUUUCACCACUCAAGCCUGGCUUGGUAUUGGGCGUCGCGGUCCCCGCGUGCCUCAAAGUCCCCCGGCUGAGCUGUCCGACCCCCAGCGUUGUGAUUUCCAUUCGCUUUGGGGCCCGGGCGGCCGUGGCCGUUAAAUCUUUCAAAGGUUGACCUCGGAUCAGGUAGGGAUACCCGCUGAACUUAA
rnacentral:misc_RNA from 1 species